UCGGGCGUGGUGCACGGCGCACGGCGGCUACCAUUCCUGAUUUCGUCGAGUGGAAUGUUGCAAGCCGAAGCCCGGGGUUCGACUCCCCGCGCCCGAA